UUUGGGAUACCUGAACGAUGCUAUUGCGGCCUUCGAUGUAGAUUGGAAGAGUCUACAGCUCCAGAGACGUUUGGCAGGAAGUUCUAUAGUUGCCCUGAAAUAUUAGGCGAAUGUGUAUAGUUUUAAUGAGGUUUUUCUCAAUAUGUGUAUAGUUUUAAUGUUAUUCAUCGAGUAUAACUGAAGUUUUCGUUUGUCAUAUGUGUAGGAUAAACCGGGUCACAUCUCCAAAUGGUGGGAUCUAGCCAUUGAAGAGCAGCUGACCAUUCUUCAAAUACGAAUUGACAAGCAGAGCGAAAGCAUGUUCCGUGACAACCGAACAGCCCUUCUGCAAUAAUAUGAGAAUCGGCUGUAUGCAUUGGAGGAUCGCCUUGCUGCAACCGAGAAGACCAUUAGCGAGAUCGAGGAGUUCA
rnacentral:lncRNA from 1 species